AUGAAGAGUGCCUCAGUUUGCCAGAAGUUCAUUCCCAGCUCAUGCCCUCCAGAAGGGGCUCAGAAGGGGCUCCAAUUAUACUUGCACACUGUAUCAGAGCCACCCCGGUCCCCUUCCCCAUCCAUGGGCAUUUAAACCUGAUAUUGAUCUCAGGUCUCAACUCCAGGUGUCCCUCAUGAGAUUUUCAGUGGAGUCCACUCGGGGAUGUGUAUGCCUGAGGAUCUAGCAUUUCUUCUCUUCCCACAGCACUUGAUCACUUUAUUGUGCUACAACUGAAAAAAUGAAUUCCCCACACAGCCCAAGAACAAAUGGCUUGCCUAGGAAAAAAGGUAAGAAAUUAGGAACAUGGCUUUGAACUCAGACUGACCUUCACUGGAAUCUGGCCUCUACCACAUACAAGCUACGUGACUUUGGGCAAGUUUCCUCAGUUUUUCUCAGGCUCAAUUUCCUCAAUCAUAAAAUGGGAAGAAUCAUACCCCACAGAAUGGUUGUGAGGAAUAAAGGGGACA